rnacentral:rRNA from 1 species
GAUGAACGCUGGCGGCGUGCCUAAUACAUGCAAGUCGAACGAAACUUCUUUAUCACCGAGUGCUUGCACUCACCGAUAAAGAGUUGAGUGGCGAACGGGUGAGUAACACGUGGGCAGCCUGCCCAAAAGAGGGGGAUAACACUUGGAAACAGGUGCUAAUACCGCAUAACCAUAGUUACCGCAUGGUAACUAUGUAAAAGGUGGCUAUACUACCGCUUUUGGAUGGGCCCGCGGCGCAUUAGCUAGUUGGUAGGGUAAAGGCUUACCAAGGCAAUGAUGCGUAGCCGAAUUGAGAGGUUGAUCGGCCACAUUGGGACUGAGACACGGCCCAAACUCCUACGGGAGGCAGCAGUAGGGAAUCUUCCACAAUGGGCGAAAGCCUGAUGGAGCAACGCCGCGUGGGUGAAGAAGGUCUUCGGAUCGUAAAACCCUGUUGUUAGAGAAGAAAGUACGUGAGAGUAACUGUUCACGUUUCGACGGUAUCUAACCAGAAAGCCACGGCUAACUACGUG